GAUAUUAUGUCUGAUUAAAGUAAUAAAUUGUAAAUUUAUUUAAGAAAGUUAAAUUUCUAAUAUCA
rnacentral:tRNA from 2 species